rnacentral:rRNA from 1 species
AGAGUUUGAUCCUGGCUCAGAAUCAACGCUGGCGGCGCGCUUAACACAUGCAAGUCGAACGAGAAAGCAGGAGCAAUCUUGUGAGUAAAGUGGCGUACGGGUGAGUAACACGUGGAUCAUCUACCUCUUUGUGGGGGAUAACCCUGGGAAACCGGAGCUAAUACCGCAUAAGUCCGUGAGGAGAAAGCAGCAAUGCGCAGAGAGAGGAGUCCGCGGCCGAUUAGUUAGUUGGCAGGGUAAAAGCCUACCAAGACAAAGAUCGGUAGCCGGCCUGAGAGGGCACACGGCCACACUGGCACUGAAACACGGGCCAGACUCCUACGGGAGGCAGCAGUGGGGAAUCUUGCACAAUGGGGGCAACCCUGAUGCAGCGACGCCGCGUGAGCGAUGAAGCCCUUCGGGGUGUAAAGCUCUUUCGGCAGGGAAGAUUAUGACGGUACCUGCAGAAGCAGCUGCGGCUAACUACGUGCCAGCAGCCGCGGUAAUACGUAGGCAGCGAGCGUUGUUCGGAGUUACUGGGCGUAAAGGGUGUGUAGGCGGUUUUCUAAGUCUGGUGUGAAAUCUCCCGGCUCAACUGGGAGGGUGCGCCGAAAACUGGAAGGCUAGAGUGCGGGAUGGGUAAGUGGAAUUCCUGGUGUAGCGGUGAAAUGCGUAGAUAUCAGGAGGAACACCUGUGGUGUAGACGGCUUACUGGACCGCAACUGACGCUGAAACACGAAAGCGUGGGUAGCAAACAGGAUUAGAUACCCUAGUAGUCC